rnacentral:rRNA from 1 species
CAUAAUCAUUAGUCUUUUAAUUUGAGACUGGAAUGAAAGAGUAAACCAAGAGAAUUUCUUUUUAUUUAAAAAAAUGAAUUUUACUUUUUAGUAAAAAGGCUAAAAUAAUUCUUUUAGACAAGAAGACCCUAUAAAACUUUAUACUUUUCUUUAGUAAAANNNNAAGAAAAAAGUAUUUCACUGGGGCGGUGGGAAAAAANANNGCUUUUCUUAAAAUAAAAAACAAGCUUGUUUAAAUACCUAGAAUUUCUAAAAAAGAAAUAAGUUACUUUAGGGAUAACAGCUUAAUUCACUUAGAAAGAUCAAAUUGACAAGUGAGUUUAUGACCUCGAUGUUGAAUUAAAAUCCCUCU